rfam:Oryza meridionalis cultivar OR44 (W2112) chromosome 2, whole genome shotgun sequence.
AAUAAACACAACCAUAAAUUUCCGUGUCCAAUUUAGAUCCUCUGUCUUAUUUGAAUUUUUUUAGAUUAGUAUUUUUAUCGUUAUUAGGUUAUAAAAUAUGAAUAGUAAUUUAUACGUGACUUAUGUUUUUAAUUUUUUUUACAAAAAAUUUAAGUAAGAUAGACGAUUAAAGCUAGAUACGAAAACUUAUGGCAACAAUCAGU